rnacentral:misc_RNA from 1 species
UUAACUAUUAAAUAGUACUCAGACGACAGUAACAUUUAGAGUUUGGUAAGUCUCUGGUCGGUGCGUGACACCACCCGGAGGCAGCGCCGGCAGAGCGGCCAAAGCAACAUGAUAUAUGAUACAAGGGUGGGGUUUCUACCCGUGAGGGCAGGAAACACUGUAAUGAUCCUUCCGCAGGUUCACCUACGGAAA